rnacentral:lncRNA from 1 species
GGGACUCAGAGGGGAGAGGACAUGUUUUGACAGGAUGACUUCUUAUAAGAGCAUCUCUGAGUGUGCUUAUCUUGUGCUGAAGGAAUUAUCUACUUACUGGUAUUCCCUUACCUGCUCCUUCAGGACUCUGAGUGGUACAGUGUGCCUCCUGACGGGCCCUACUUGCCUGCUCUUUCCUUGUUAA